rnacentral:lncRNA from 1 species
AAUCUGCCACCGCUGCCACCGAGCCGAGGGGCGCCAGCAAGGCAUCCCCUGGGUCAAGGGGCCUCCCGUGGGCUUUCCAAACAGCCUGUGCUCAUUUCCGCGGGAGCCCUCGGGGCGCUGUGCUGUGGCUGCAUUGUCACUGUUUGUUUAUUUCUACAUCUGCUCUGUUAGAAGAUAGGCUCGCUUAGGACAGAGCCUUCUAAUCCACCCCCUGAUGAAUUCGGGCCCUCGCCUUUGGCACAAUGCCUGGCGUCAUCACAACGCGGGUGAUCAGUAAACGGCAGCGAAGGAAGCGGGGUCAGGACUGGAGAGGAGAGGGGGAGGAAGACAGACGACCGGAGAGGAACAAAAAUGGAAGUCUCCAGUUGGCUUCUUGUGAUUGGCCAGAACUUUUCCUCACUGGAGAGAUGAGGAGAAUCCAGUCCUCCAACCAGCUGAGAGAAAACACUGCAGUAGCAGAGAUAGCAAUGGCUGUUCCACCCCACACUGAUACGAUGUCAGGGAGCCAGGGGUGGGCUCAACAGGCUGAAUGAUGCCAGGGACUCCCAAGGGUCUAUACAUUUAACCCUGGAGGAAGUGGCCUCUGACCAGGCAGUGUUUCAAGAACCCAGCUCCAUUCAUCCUAUGAUGCCACCAUCCUCAGCAUUUGACUUCCAUGGCUCCUAUAUGCUGCCAAGAGAAUUUUUUUCUUUAAGAACAAAUAAACUAAAGAAAUUAACAUCCAGCUUGCUGAGUCACUUGCUUUCCACUUGAAUUUUAACUACAAGGAUCUGAAGACAGCCUGUGUUAGGCAGAGAAAGAAAGAGACAGAGAAAGAGUCAGGGAGAAGAGAGGAAGAGAGAUGUAGCUGGAGAGUCAGGGAGAAAUUCAAAGAGAUGGAGAGAGAGACUGGUUCUGGAAAGAAAAGAUAAGUUAAAUAGAAAAAGGAAAGUAAUCUUUGAAAGGUUUGUUUAAGACAUGUAUUUUCUUACUCUGUAGUGGGAGCGCUGAAUAAAAAUAUUUAAAUAAAAGCUGUAAUGUGAUUAA